UACAGAGGUCUCAAGCGUUGUUCGGAUUCAUUGGGCGUAAAGGGUGCGUAGGUGGCGCCGUAAGUCGGGUGUGAAAUUUCGGAGCUUAACCCCGAAACUGCAUUCGAUACUGCGGUGCUUGAGGACUGGAGAGGAGACUGGAAUUCAUGGUGUAGCAGUGAAAUGCGUAGAGAUCAUGAGGAAGACCAGUGGCGAAGGCGGGUCUCUGGACAGUUCCUGACACUGAGGCACGAAGGCCAGGGGAGCAAACGGG
rnacentral:rRNA from 1 species